rfam:Gossypium raimondii chromosome 13, whole genome shotgun sequence.
AAUCUAUGGUGCGGGCAUUUUUAAAUAAACAUUUUGAAAUCUUUCCAUGCCUCAUAGAAACUUUAUCCCUCUAUCUAUCUUAAAACAGCAAUCUCUCUUCUUAGUGG